AAAACGACUCUCGGCAACGGAUAUCUCGGCUCACGCAUCGAUGAAGAACGUAGCAAAAUGCGAUACUUGGUGUGAAUUGCAGAAUCCCGUGAACCAUCGAGUUUUUGAACGCARGUUGCGCCCGAAGCCAUCCGGUUGAGGGCACGUCUGCCUGGGCGUCACGC
rnacentral:rRNA from 1 species